GACGAACGCUGGCGGCGUGCUUAACACAUGCAAGUCGAACGGAAAGGCCCUGCUUUUGUGGGGUGCUCGAGUGGCGAACGGGUGAGUAACACGUGAGUAACCUGCCCUUGACUUUGGGAUAACUUCAGGAAACUGGGGCUAAUACCGGAUAGGAGCUCCUGCUGCAUGGUGGGGGUUGGAAAGUUUCGGCGGUUGGGGAUGGACUCGCGGCUUAUCAGCUUGUUGGUGGGGUAGUGGCUUACCAAGGCUUUGACGGGUAGCCGGCCUGAGAGGGUGACCGGCCACAUGGGGACAGAGAGACGGCCCAGACUCCGACGGGAGGGAGCAGGGGGAAAUUUUGCACAAGGGGGGGGACCUUGAGGACGACAGCCCGGGGGGGGGAGGGGGGCCUUGGGGUUGAAAACCGCUUUCCCCUGUGACAAAGGGGGGGGGAGGGAAAUGGGUAAAAAGACACCGGCAAACUAGGUG
rnacentral:rRNA from 1 species